CGAAAAAAAUUUCCCCCAAAAGCACUGAAUUUGCCCCCAAAACCAUUCAGAUACCCCAUCUAAACCCUCCCUAUCUAAUUCCUCUUUUAGUUCAUUUCUCUGCAAUCUCGCGCAUUUGUGAAUGGUUAUCAGUGAUUUGAAGAAAUUGAUCGGUGCCCUAACUGAAGGAUUCUCCAAAUGUGGACUUAGGAGAUGAACCCAGUGCUGAUGAAAACAUGAGGGUCAAUGAUGAUACUUUUGUUCAUUUAGAUGAGAACAAUCAAGGGGCUUAUGCAGAUGAGUUUGAGUGGGAUACAGGGCGUUGGGAUGCAACAGAUAAUCCGCUAUUUGAAGGGAGUGAUAUGAGUGAUGCAACAGAGGGUGGAGUGAAGUUUACAAACAGUGAGGGUGAGAGUGGGAUGGGGACUAAUCUACAAGAUGUGAACAUAUGGGAGGAUCAUAUCCUUAUCACUGAGCUAAGGAGAAUGUUAUGGGUAUUAGAGAUAUUGUGGUGGAGAAUACAAAAUAUGUUAGUGAUGAUGCUGAUGAUUGUUACUCAGACGAUGAAUAUCAUUCCUUCGAUAGCUCUGAGGAGCAGUUUUGUAGUGAGGAUGUCGAUGACGUGAUUGAGAAUCUUGAUGGGGCAAUUCACAACACUAACUAUGAAGACCUUGUGUUUGCUAUGGGUGAAAAAUUUAAGGAUAUAAAUGAUCUCAGGCAUUGUUUGCAACAGUAUGGCACUAAAAAAAAUUUUAAUCAUAAUCUGAAAAAGAAUGAUAAUGUAAGGUUAGUUGCCAAAUGUGAAGGUGAGAAGUGACCUUGGAAGUUAAGGGCCAAAAAGGUUACCUGAUCGGAGAACACUGGAGAUUUCAGUGUUUGAAGUUAUACACACACGCAUUGGUGUCAACAAAUAUAAAAAUAACCAAGCAACAACGAAGUGGGUGGAGAAAAAUGUAAUUGGGGAUGUUAAAAAAUAUAGUAACAUAACUCUAGAGCAUAUUCAAGACUUAAUAAGAAGCAAAUAUUAGUUGGAAAUCUCAUAUAAGAGGGUCUGGAGAGGAAGGGAAGUGGCAAGAAACAUGGUAUUUGGGAAUGUUGAAGCUUCUUAUGACUUUGUUUUGUCAUUAAAGAAUGAGUUAUUACAGAGAAAUCCAAGAAGUCAUGUUGAUAUUAAGUUAGAUUGUGACUAUGCUUUUCAGAGAAUGUUCGUAUGUUUCAAUGCAUCAAUAGAGGGAUUUAGAAGUGGUUGUAAGCCAUAUAUGGGCCUUGAUGGUUGUCAGUCAAGGUCCAAGUAUUUGGGAACCUUGUCGUCUGUUAUUGCUUUAGAUGGUAACAAUGGGUUAUUCCCUAUGGCUUUUGUUGUUGUGGAGGGAGAAUCUGGGGAGUCCUGGUAUUGGUUUUUACAAAAUAUAUUGCAAGCUUUUGGUGGUGUAAUCUUGAGGGCGUUAAUUUUAUGAGUGAUCAAGAAAAGGGCUUGUUAGAAGCUAUGUCUAUAUUGUUGCCUCAAGCAGAGCAUAGGGUAUGCAUGAGACACCUAUGGAAAGCAAUCAAAAAAGAUUUUCCUGGAGAUUUUUGUGAGCAAACUGUGUGGGUUGCUGCAAGGGCUUACACAACUAGUGAAUUUGAGAUGCAUAUGCAUAGUUUAAAGCGGGCAUCAAUGGAAGCUUUCAUAUAUUUGAUUAAGAAAAAAUUUGUAUGGGCUAGAAGUCAGUUUUCACCAAUAUCAAAGAAUCACCUUAUAACCAACAAGAGCUGAGAAUCAUUCAAUUCAUGGAUAUUAGAUGCAAGGUAUAUGCCAGUAGUGGACCUUAUUGACAAACUUAGGGUCAAAAUAUGCAAAAGUUCAAUAUUAGGAGGAAACAAGCAAACCAAUGGAAAGGCAAACUGGUUCCUUAUGCUGAAAGGUAUUGUCAAGAAAUUAAUAAAAAGUUGGGUGGUUGCACAGUUCAUCACACAAAUGAUAUAGAAGCUGAAGUGGAGAAUGAAUUUGAGAGGAGAAUCAUCAACUUGCAAGCUAGAACUCGCAGCUGUAGGAAAUGGCAAUUGAUUGGUUUGCCUUGCCAUCCAUGUGGCAAACUUCAUUGGCUCACUUAGAAAUGCACCUUGGGAUCACUUUUGUGAUGAAUACUUCGCCAUUGAUAGAUAUGUCAUAUUUUGUAUUUGUCAUUUUACUAAUAGUAUCAUUAACAUCCACUUGUGCUACUGACAAUUGUAUGUUUGUAGCUAUAAAGAGCCUUAUGCCAAAUCAAUUGGAGUUGUGCCAUCUAAGGAUCAAUGGGAGACAUAUAUGAAAGAUUUCAUCAUUUGACCUCCUCAUACAAAGAGGCCUAGAGGAAGGCCAAAGAAGAAAAGAAUUAGAGCGAAGGAUGAGCUAGAAGGAAGGCCAAAAUCUUUGAAGAGGUUGCACAAGUGUACUAGAUGUCAAGGCUGGAGACACCACAAGAAUUCAUGCAAACAACCAAUUAAUGAUAGGGAUGCGCAACAGCCUUCUACACAAAAUUCAACUGCUUCAACCCAACAUCAAACUUCAAGAGAUGGAGCCUCAAGAUCAAGGGUGUCCAAAGCAACGACUAUUAAAGGGAGAGGCCACCUAGAACUGGGCAAUCAAGAUCAAGAGCACCUUCUCAAUCAUCUCAAGCAACUCAAGCCCCACACCAUACACAUUCAAGUAGCAGCUUCAACAUCCUGUUCCAUACAUCAUCAUCAACCCCAUUCUUUACAAGCAACAACUUCAGCGGUUUCAACACUCAAGUAGCACCAGUAGCUUCACCGCCUACAUCAACCCCACUCGAUACACCUCCAUUUCACCAGCAUGCACUUGGACCAUCCCACCAACACCAGGUGUAACCAAGUAGCCAGCAACCUUCAACUGAAACUUCAAGCUCAUCCCAUUCUGCAGUAGGUAGCGUGGUGUGGAGAUGAAAUAUGUCAAUCUGUGUUGGUGUAUGCGUGCAUUAAGCUCACAUUUUUGUGAAUGUUAACUGCUUGUGUUCAUAUGACGCACCUUUUGCUACGUGUUGAUUUAUGUGUGAAUAUGACACACUUUGUCCUUGGUCUU